AAUCAACGCUGGCGGCGUGCCUAACACAUGCAAGUCGAACGCGAAAGCCCCUUCGGGGGUAAGUAGAGUGGCGUCCGGGUGAGUAACACGUAGGUAAUCUACCUUCGGGUGGGGAAUAACUCGCCGAAAGGCGAGCUAAUACCGCAUAAUGCAGCGGCACCUAAUGGUGAUUAGUUGUUAAAGCGGGGGAUCGUAAGACCUCGCGCCUGAAGAGGAGCCUGCGGCAGAUUAGCUAGUUGGGAGGUAAUGGCUCACCAAGGCUUCGAUCUGUAGCUGGUCUGAGAGGACGGCCAGCCACACUGGCACUGACACACGGGCCAGACUCCUAC
rnacentral:rRNA from 1 species